rnacentral:rRNA from 1 species
CAGUAGCCGCGGGAAUACGAGGGGGGCAAGCGUUGUUCGGAAUUAUUGGGCGUAAAGGGUGCGUAGGCGGUUCAGCAAGUCUCGUGUGAAAUCUUCGGACUCAACCCGAAGUCUGCACGGGAAACUACUGGGCUUGAGUAAUGGAGAGGUGAGUGGAAUUUCCGGUGUAGCGGUGAAAUGCGUAGAUAUCGGAAGGAACACCUGUGGCGAAAGCGGCUCACUGGACAUUUACUGACGCUGAUGCACGAAAGCUAGGGGAGCAAACAGGAUUAGAUACCCCAGUAGUCCCUGUCUCUUAUAA